rnacentral:rRNA from 1 species
UACGUAGGUGGCAAGCGUUGUCCGGAAUUAUUGGGCGUAAAGCGCGCGCAGGCGGUCCUUUAAGUCUGAUGUGAAAGCCCACGGCUCAACCGUGGAGGGUCAUUGGAAACUGGGGGACUUGAGUGCAGGAGAGAAGAGUGGAAUUCCACGUGUAGCGGUGAAAUGCGUAGAGAUGUGGAGGAACACCAGUGGCGAAGGCGGCACUCUGGGCCAGUAUUGACGCUGAGGAGCGAAAGCGUGGGGAGCGAACAGG